CGGACUCCUCCUCCUCCUGAUUGGCUGUGCUGCAGCAGGGCCUGACUCUGACCUGCGGCCCCGCGCGGUGCGUUCGAGUGCCUGUGAGGAGCACGCGACUCUGCACGGCCGCCUGGACGUGGUGGAGAAGAAAGUGGAGGACACCGUGGAGAAACUGGAGACUGAGCUGGCCACCCUCCUGGAUGCUAUCGAAGCCCCGGAGUGGCGCCCCCUGUUGGACACCGGUGGCAAGCCUGCAGUGGACAUCCUGGACGGGCUGGGGGAGAAGGCGCACCCCUGAAGUCACCAAAGGGACUGAAAUCAUGAAGAAGAGAGCGGCGAAAUCAAAGGCCCCCUUGAACUUGGGGAAUAUUUAAACUCUGAAACAAACGGCGGCUGCCAUCUGUCUGCCUGACUUUACUGCAAAAGCUGUAGGUUGCCAUGUUGGAGCCUGUCUGCGUAGGCAUAUUUCUGUAUAUCAAACCAAGUGUGAGGCUUAUGCAGCAGGCAGAAAAGAAAAAAGGCUGAUAGAUCACGACACUAAUGCUUCCUUGUCUGUAUUAUUCCCUCUUGCUAAUCCCGGGACAACAUCAUCUCUUUUCCUGUCUUAGUCCCGGGGCCUUUUUUUUUUUUUUUCCUCCCCCCCAGCAGUCAGUGGUGACGCAGCUCACCGGGUCUGCGCCGCGGGAUUAAUUCACUUUUAUUUGGGAUUGUCUGUUCAGCGUUUCCGCCGCGGCUCCGCCUCCUCGCCGUCCUCUGCUUUGUGUGCGCUUUAAAUCUCCAUGUUAGCAAGUCACACAGUCUCAGGUUCAGCGUUCAAAUCUGGGUUUUCUUUA